rnacentral:rRNA from 1 species
UACGGGGGGGGUAAGCGUUGUUCGGAAUUACUGGGCGUAAAGGGCGCGUAGGCGGCCUGUUAAGUCGAACGUGAAAUCCCCGGGCUCAACCCGGGAACUGCGUCCGAUACUGGCAGGCUUGAAUCCGGGAGAGGGAUGUGGAAUUCCAGGUGUAGCGGUGAAAUGCGUAGAUAUCUGGAGGAACACCGGUGGCGAAGGCGGCAUCCUGGACCGGUAUUGACGCUGAGGCGCGAAAGCCAGGGGAGCAAACGGG